UUUCCACGGGACGCCCUUCCUGAGAAGGCCCAUAGAGUCAUCAUCAUUUUCCAGUGAGAAGAGCUGUGGCAGCACAGUGCUAUAAUAUCUCUGACAUGUGAAGCUGCUGGGAGCGAAUUCUCCCCACUAAACGACCUUACAUGGUUCAGUAACAAUCUGCUGCAGGAAUCACUGACAUGGAUGACUGUUCUUUGACUUUUAACCUCCAGUGUUGCUCUGGAAGGAUCCACUGUAUGGGGAAGGAAUGAGCUUACUUUCUUGGGCUGAUCAGUCUUUGCCUCUCAGCUGAGAAAGUGAAAGCUUCACCUGGACCAGAUCUGGCAGAUGAGUUAGCCUGCACUGGAAAUCAUCCUCAGCUUCAACAGAUCAACAGAGAAAAAUUAUAUUUGUUUUCCAAGAGACAAACACACUUACAAAUCUGUACAUGUCUUCUUUAACACCUUGAGCAGCAGUUCCUAGAGGCCUCUGUCUGCUGCAGAGAGGAGAAAAGCCUUGUAUGCUUAAUGUGGAGAUGUGCUGGUUGCUACGUCUAAUAAAUGAAACCUCUACCUUAGGUACA
rnacentral:lncRNA from 1 species